UACGGAGGAUGCAAGCGUUAUCCGGAAUGAUUGGGCGUAAAGCGUCCGCAGGUGGCUAUGUAAGUCUGCUGUUAAAGAGUGAGGCUCAACCUCAUAAGAGCAGUGGAAACUACAUAGCUAGAGUGCGUUCGGGGCAGAGGGAAUUCCUGGUGUAGCGGUGAAAUGCGUAGAUAUCAGGAAGAACACCCGUGGCGAAGGCGGCUCUCUGGGACGGUACUGACGCUGAGACGCGAAAGCGUGGGGAGCGAACAGG
rnacentral:rRNA from 1 species